rnacentral:lncRNA from 1 species
CAAAUGAGGGAGAUAGUGUAUUAAUUGAUUAAAAGAUGAAAUUAACAGAUUAAGUGCUUUGUGUAACUAGAAAUGACAGUUAGGUUUGUUAUGGUUUGUUAGUAGUUGGUUAUUUUCUGUUUAAUUAGUUAGGAUUGUUUGUAAGACAAAGUUAGUUAUUUGUGUUCCACUCUCUCAUAAUCCAGCUGUCAGUUAUGGCUUGUUAGUUGGAAAGUUGUGAAAUGCACAUAUGACAGAAACAAGUAGUAAUUAGUUUCACAGAAGAUAUAUCCUAUACUAUUUUGACAUUAAUUUGUAUUUUAUUUUUGUCAUUAAUAAAAUAUUUUUACUUAGACCAAGUAAUGUUGAAUUUUUAUAGUGAUAAAAAGUUAUUUAAUGAUAGUGAAUGAUUUAUAAUAGUAGAGAAGUGAACACUGAACAAUGCUGAAGAGGAAAAUAAAUGUUUUUUCAAUGGUCAUUUGAAUCCUUUUAGAUUUGUAGAUUAUAGUUUGAAAAAUAUACUGCCAAAUCUAACAACUAUACAUAAAAAAAAGAUCAUCCAUAAAACCAUAUACCAUUAAAGAAAUACAAUCCAAACAACCAUACAUAAGUCUUUUCACAUCAACCACAAUCAAGAGAAAAUCAUUAAGUAAAAUCAUUAAGUGCUUGCAAAUUAAGUACUGAAAAUAGUAAGACAAUAGAACAUAAAAUCAUUUCUCAAAAUCCUAUGAACACAGCAUGAAAACCAAACCACUAUAUUUCCUUAUACUUCGUCGAUCAAUAUAU